rnacentral:lncRNA from 7 species
UCAUUAUUUGCCUGACAACAAAUUCUCUUCAUUGUUUUGUUGUUGUUGUUUUAAUUUUAUUUUCAAAGGCAUUUAUAGCUAUUGUGAUCUUUCAUGACAGUUGCCUACGUCAGGAGCAGAGGAGUCGAUGGUUCCCAGAGGAGGGCUGUCAGGCAGAGCUCUCCUCUGGUUAGCAGCAAGCAGUGCUGCUAGCAGCACCAACACUUAAAAACCCUUUUCUUCAGUGACACAGUUACAGGAGAAGCGGCAGAGAUCACACCACUGGCUGCACAAUAUCACCGUGUUGGAGCAUUGAUUGCUCAGAUGUGUAUGGGCACCUUUUCGUUUCAGUUUGUCACUGAGGGCCAUGCAUUUAAAGCAUGCAGCUUGGCACUGGACGAGAGCCCUGGGGGCUGGCAGGCUGCCUUCUAGAGACAUACAGCAGCAGCAACUGCCCAGCUUUUUUCCCAUGGGAAAAUACUGGGAACCCGCCAAAUUAUCAUCUUGGCUCUGGAGUGUCACUGCCCAGAUGGCUGUUCUGCAUCAGAAGACAUGAGACAUGGAGGUUGUGAAGGUUGAUAACGGAGAUUGAUGCACUGAAUCUGGAGCCACAGAGGUGGAAAUAACAGCACCGAGUGAUAGAUGACAUUUCUAAAUCUUCAAUCUCAAGGCUAGCAACCUUCAUUAUCCCUUCUGCGGGUCUGCCUCAUCUCUAGGCUUUUUCCCAUGAUUUUCGGGUGCCACCAGGAUGCUGACAGUAUGUCAGGUCUUGUCGGGUAAGGCAGGGGCACUCCUUAUGCAUUCCCUGAUGCUCCUUCCUGCGUCCCAGACGUGAUCCACUCCCUGCCGUAUGCUGGCCAACUUAGCCCUGAGAGAUUGUUCCCUGUUGUGCCACACACAGAAAUGAAACAAGGUAUUUUAAACGUGCAUUUGGUUUAGAAAACGUGCGUUGUACUGUCUAGCACUGUGUGCUUCCUGCAGUUCCUCUCCAGGGCUGUCAGAAGCAAAAGCCAGACUGCUUUGCACGUAUAUGCUGCAUGCAGCAGAACAAAUGCAACUCCUGGCAGAAGGAGGUGAGCUGAGGGGAGGAAACGUCACAUGAGGCUGUGGUUAUGGUGGCAGUGCACAUGCUGCAAUGUGGUCAAAACCUACAGAAGCCAAAGGGAGGUUGCCAAGUGUCUCUCAUUGGUGUCCUUCACCUCCAAAGCCAGGAGGGUUGCUCCAUCUUGAAUCUGCCAAGAGUCAUCCCAUGCAAUCAGUGUCCUGAAAUCCAGAUUUAGCAGACCCAACAAUUCUAGAAAAUCCCAGCUUUGGGGCUUUUCUCUCUGUACGUUCACACACACACACCAAGCAACCCACUGCUCCACAGGCCCUCCAGCCAACCUCACAUGCAGCCUUUAUGGCGAAGCAGAGUUGUGCAGAGCAGCACGCCUGAUAAGCUGCGAGCACGCUGUGGCAGGAGUUGAGGUGCGAAUAUUAAAGCUAAGGUUGAUGCU